AUUGAACGCUGGCGGCAGGCCUAACACAUGCAAGUCGAACGGUAACAGGAAGCAGCUUGCUGCUUCGCUGACGAGUGGCGGACGGGUGAGUAAUGUCUGGGAAGCUGCCUGAUGGAGGGGGAUAACUACUGGAAACGGUAGUUAAUACCGCAUAAUGUCGCAAGACCAAAGAGGGGGACCUUCGGGCCUCUUGCCAUCGGAUGUGCCCAGAUGGGAUUAGCUUGUUGGUGGGGUAACGGCUCACCAAGCUGACGAUCCCUAGCUGGUCUGAGAGGAUGACCAGCCACACUGGAACUGAGACACGGUCCAGACUCCUACGGGAGGCAGCAGUGGGGAAUAUUGCACAAUGGGCGCAAGCCUGAUGCAGCCAUGCC
rnacentral:rRNA from 1 species